GUCACAAAGAAUAACUGGGGAGCAGAAAAAGCUUCAAGUCUGACUACUUACACAUACGACUGUCAACAAGAUUCCAAGAGACUGCAAGUGAGUCUUUGGUCACUGGUGCAAAGAUAAAGGUCUAGGAAGAUAAGAUGUUGCGUCAUGUUCACCAUGAGGGCUGCUCUCAUCCCUCUUGGACUGCACCCAGGCUUCUGAGGAUAAACAGGGCAGCGUGCAUCCAGCACAGGCAAGGAUCUGGUUCUUGACUAGAAGCGGAUAUUUGACUUCAAGGAUCCUUCCUGAAGGACCGGGAUUCUGCCCAGUCAACUUGACAGAGACAUUCCUGAGGUCUCCAGGCUUUGCAGGUAGAAUUCAGAAGUUCAGCUUUGGAGAUCCAGUUCUGUUCAACGAAAUCCUUUGAUGAGAGACACAUCCUACGGUGUUGUAGUUUCCUCUGCAGAUUCUCUCCACCACACAAAUCACCUCACGCUAUUAGUGGAAGAAGAGGAAGUUCUAAAUUGGGCCCCUCUCGUCUGGCACUAUCCACUGCCCUGAUGGAUACCCUGAAGCCCCAACCUUCCACGCCCGCUCAGGAAGUCCUCAGUUCCAUGCAGAAAAAAGUCGGAAACGUGCCCGCAACCUUUAGUCCCAACUCGCCCCCAGCGGGCGUGACCACCCGGAGCUCAGUGUCCCGGCCAGGCCCGAUCCCCACAGGGGUGCCGCGGGGUGAGGGCAGGAAGACGGCAGGUACCUUAUGCUCGUCCCGAAGGUGGCUGUCCAGUUCCUCCGUGUGCUUGGUCUCAUAGUAGCAGAGCUGGCAUUUGUAAGGUUUUAGUUCGUUGUGCUUUUCUAUGUGUUGCUGGAGGCUCUCGUCACUGGAGCAGGUGAAGGUGCACUUAUCACAGCGGAAAACUACUCCCUGCAAGUAUUUGGACAGUUUGGAACGGCACACUUCGAUGGGGACAACUCGCUCUUCUGUGGAAACAAAUUGAAUGGAAAGAUGGAAGUUUUUACUGAUGGUCCGCACGCGCUCUGUCUUUGGAAUAAAGGAAGGAACUCAACCGGUUUUGCUACCUUUCGUGGGUGUCCAUGAACUCAUGUGCACACUGCCUCUCCCUCCGUUCCCCAAACAGCAUCUUCUGGUCCAGGGGUGACAACCAAAAAUGCCUCCGGACAAAGGCACCCUGACUCCGGCUGAUGACCACUACUCGACACCAAGUGUCAGCAUUACCUCCAGCCGCUCUGGCUAAGACACGGGUGCAAGCCGGCGCCCAAGCACGAGAUGGGUACAGGCUGAACCCCUGGGACGGGCCCAAUGCCUCAGGGGCUCACGGGCAGUGCUCCCAUGGACUUUUCUGCCGCCUUGACGCUGCAACCCCCUUUGCUCUGUGUUGGCUCCCACUCUGGGUUGUGUCAUUUCUGCUGCAUGCACUCUGUCUCCAGCCCUGCCGACUGCCAGGGAGAUGGACCACAGCUGGUCUAACAGCCCCCGUAAUGAUGCCUCCAGCACCUUGGAGACAGCCGUGCGGCCAAGCCUCCAGUCUUCGCUUCUCCCCAUAAAGAAUCGCUUCUUUCAGACUGGGGUUUUACAGGCCUCCCUUUCAACUGCUCUACCACCUUAGUUUUCUUUGCAGUUUCCCAUUUCACUAUGUAGGUCUAAGUGAAUCUUAACAAAGUCAUGAGCCCUCAAAAUAGCCUGGAGUUUAAAUAAUAAUGAUUCAUAAAUGACCAUGGCGAUUUACCAGGAGCUCACUCUGUUUCAAGCACUGUUAGGCAUUCUACCCUCAUGGUUAAAUUUUUAUUCUCGAAAGACUCUGCAAGUCAGUUUUAUUACCUUUAGUUUAUUGGUGUGGAAGCUGAGGACUGGCCUGCUGCACGCCUUCCUCAAAGUCAUGCCUCUGGUUCAGAACAAAGUUGUGACCUGGGAGCACAGGUCUCCUGGCUGACCUGUGCCAGAACCCUCCUCUCCUUCACCCCCGGAAAAGAACUCUCUUGGAUCAUUAGAUCCGCAUGCCGUUCACUGAUGAGCCUCUGAUUCCUAACCGAUUAAGAGUUCAAGAGCUACAGACAUAUCUAAGGCAACCAUUUCUAGUUGAACUUCUUUCGAGUAUCUUCUGAAUCAGGUAAGAGGCAGCUUCCUGCUUGCUUCCUCACUCUGAAACAUCAGACUUCUCAUUUCCAAACGAAGUCAUCCCCAACAUUCCAAGUCUCUGGGUUACGUGGAUUUGUACUAAGAUGUUCAUUUUAGGGGGAAAAAAAGUUAAUUUUUCUACCUGAAAACACGACUAACACGACCAAGAUAAAAAACAAGACAGACUUGGAAAGGUGGGCAAAUCACUGACAGUGCCUUCUGAAUGAGGUUAUUCAUUACUGAGGCAAGUCAAGGACAUAAAGUUAGAGACUGGAAUGUUUCCAGGUAUGGAUGGAGCCCUGUCUGGGCUACAGAAGCCCAGGGCUCAAGGCUUUUUUUUUUUUAAUAUGGAGGCAGCGACAACUGUGGGUCUUUCUUGACUUCACACCUCUCAAAAUUACCUUGGGUAAGAAACCAAGGCUUGAAUCACACUCAUUGUGACUCAGCUUCCAGAGCUGGCUGCAAAAAUAUUAUGACUUCACCAGUUUGACUACAAGAUAGAUUGUGUCUCUCAUCUCUUCCUACUCAAAGGCUGCUUGGUGCUGCAGCUGGACACGAAGCCCAGGAGGAAUGCCCCACGGAAGCCUGUGGGAACCCAAGCGCAACAGAGCCUAGAAGGGUGUGUUGUCAAGCUCCCGUGGAGCUCAGUGGAAGAAUCGGCUGAAUUCCAACUACCAAGAGGGCGGAGGGUCACUUCUGCUCAAAACAGAGAAAAACCACAUCACUGUGGAGUCCAGAGUCACCAAGUAAAAAUUCUUCCUGAAAGGCAGACCACAGCACACUUGGGUUUCCUCCCCACAACGUGCCAAGUCUGAACGAAGCAGGGAGAGAUCUGGAAGUCAUUCACGCCAACAAACUCCGUAUGCAAAUGAUCCUGCUCCGGGGCUGAGACCCUCUUUGGGCCAAACCAAAGCCCCACCUAUUACUCUAGGCCAAGUAAGUGACAAAAGCUGAGUACUAGAAAGCCAUUAGGAAAAGAACAAUAGUUCCUAAAAAAACAAUGGAGUCCAAAACAUGACCAUAAAUGGACACACACAAACGUAAGGACAAUGGCUCCUGGUGCACCAAAGGUGUGCAAGAUACAUCCAGGCAAAGCUGUCUGUGCACAAGGCAUCGUGAUUCCAGUGAUGGUGAUAAACUCAGUGGAAAUGUACUCAUGAGAAUAUUCCCUAUUCAUGGUCUCUCUUCCCAUUAAAGUUCAAGUUCCUUCAGUGCACAGACUGCCUGACUCUUCAUGGCUGUAUCCCUAGGGAUUAAAACAAUGCUAGCAUUAUAGUGAAUGUUCAAUAAAUAUUUGUUGCAUUGAAUGAA